UACAGGGGGUGCAAACGUUGCUCGGAAUCAUUGGGCGUAAAGCGCACGUAGGCGGUUCGUUAUGUCGGAUGUGAAAGCCCUUGGCUUAACCGAGGAAGUGCAUCCGAAACUGGCGAGCUAGAGUACGAAAGAGGAUCGCGGAAUUCCCGGUGUAGAGGUGAAAUUCGUAGAUAUCGGGAGGAACACCGGUGGCGAAGGCGGCGAUCUGGGUCGAUACUGACGCUGAGGUGCGAAAGCGGGGGGAGCAAACAGG
rnacentral:rRNA from 1 species